UUAAUUUUGUCUUUUAAUCAUGCUAAUUGUCGUCAUGUCUGCAUUAUCAACCAUAAAACCCAAAUAAAACCAAUAUUUUUAAUGUGGCUACAUUUGACUAUAAGCAAACAAAUAAAAGGAGAGAAGACUAUCAAACAGAGUUUGUGUCAUCUUUUAGAGUGACACGCAGCGGUGCUAGCAGCUAGCUAGCCAGCUGUCACUAGCUAAGUGCCUGCACACUGAGGAAGUAUUUAUUCAGGCAUCGUGGGCUGCAACUCACCAAGAGGAGGAUUGCUUGUGUUGAUGGUGAGGUUUAACGCCAUACUGUGCAAUCCUUCUUCCACACAGGUGGUGAAGCCUUAUUUCUGUUUAGGAGACCCAACAGGCGUCAGCAGGCAACCAAGACUACUCUCCACAACAAGCACACCAGAGGUACCAGAGCAGGCGUGAGGAGAAAGGGCCUGGACGACAGCAAGGCACCUUUGUCUCAGUCAGAUGGAGCAAGAGCUCUUUGGAAGAACUGGACAAAGAAAAGCGCCUGUCACAGCAGUUCAGCAGGGACGUCACAUUGGAGGACUUUCAAAUUUUUGUCUCAGUCAUCCACCCAGGAGCAGAGGAGGAUGUAGGAACCCUCCUCCCAUUCCUGAUCAGCCAGCUGCUGAAAACCUUUGAGGCAUUCAGAUAACCAAGAGUCCACUCCCUGCAGGGGAAAAAAACAGCAGAGCUCUUGGAGCAUGAGAAGAGCACAGCGCUCCAAAUCCUUCCAACUGAUGGACUACAAUGAAAGCUGUUUCACUACAACAGAGAGUGUCGCCUGUGCUUCAGUUUCGUUGAUGAGUUCUUGCUUCUGUGGUUAUACUGAGGAGUGAAUCGCAAUGAAAUCUGCAUAAUAAGCAUAUUAAGGUAAUCAAAUCAAAAUAUUCAUUUAAAUUUUAAGAAUUUCCUCUGCAUUUGUUUACAUGUUUUUUGUUUUACACAGACGUCAUGCUAAAUAAAUAUUUAAGUUCUCAAGCAGCUGGACAUACUGUAUGUGUGUGUACAUACAUUAAUCCCAGCCCUUUGCUGCAAAUGCUCAGUGCUUGCUUGAAUACAAAUGUUGACAAUGUGUUAAUAAAUUGAUCUAAUC